AAGGCCCCUUCGGGGGACGAGUAGAGUGGCGCACGGGUGAGUAACGCGUAGGUAAUCAUACCCUUAUACCUGGGAUAACAUUGGGAAACUGGUGCUAAUACCGGAUACACUUCUUAGCUUCGGGGCAAAGGAGGAAAGGUGACCUCUUGGUCAAAGUUACCGUAUAGGGAUGAGCCUGCGUACCAUUAGCUAGUAGGUGGGGUAACGGCCCACCUAGGCGACGAUGGUUAGCGGGUCUGAGAGGAUGAUCCGCCACACUGGAACUGGAACACGGACCAGACUCCUACGGGAGGCAGCAGUGAGGAAUAUUGCGCAAUGGGGGAAACCCUGACGCAGCGACGCCGCGUGAGUGAGGAAGGCCUUCGGGUCGUAAAGCUCUGUCAGAAGGGAAGAAGUGUUAUACGGUUAAUACCCGUAUAAUUUGACGGUACCUUCAGAGGAAGCACCGGCUAACUCCGUGCCAGCAGCCGCGGUAAUACGGAGGGUGCGAGCGUUGUUCGGAAUUACUGGGCGUAAAGGGCGCGUAGGCGGCUU
rnacentral:rRNA from 1 species